rnacentral:rRNA from 1 species
UCAAGUGACUAAGUGUAUGUGGUGGAUGCCUUGGCGAUCAUAGGCGAUGAAGGACGUGUAAGCCUGCGAAAAGCUGCGGGGAGUCGGCAAAAAGACUUUGAUCCGCAGAUGUCCGAAUGAGGAAACUCACCGGGUAACCGGUAUCACAAACUGAAUACAUAGGUUUGUGAAGCGAACGCAGUGAACUGAAACAUCUAAGUAACUGCAGGAAAAGAAAUCAACCGAGAUUGCGGCAGUAGCGGCGAGCGAAACCGCAGCAGCCUAGUCUUUGAUAAUGCAUGGUGACAGCAGAACGGUCUGGAAAGGCCGGCCACAGUGGGUGACAGCCCCGUAUGCGAAGUCCGGUGCAUGGUACUAAAAAGACGAUAAGUAGGGCGGGACACGUGACAUCCUGUCCGAAGAUGGGGGGACCAUCCUCCAAGGCUAAAUACUCAUGAUCGACCGAUAGCGAACCAGUACUGUGAAGGAAAGGCGAAAAGAACCCCGGGAGGGGAGUGAAAGAGAACCUGAAACCGCAUACAUACAAACAGUAGGAGCCCUACGGGGUGACUGCGUACCUUUUGCAUAAUGGGUCAGCGACUUACGUUUUGCGGCAAGCUUAACCGAGUAGGGGAGGCGCAGCGAAAGCGAGUUCGAACAGAGCGAUAGAGUCGUAAGGCGUAGACCCGAAACCAGAUGAGCUAACCAUGGCCAGGUUGAAGGUGUGGUAACACACACUGGAGGACCGAACCGACCGGUGUUGCAAAACCGGCGGAUGAGCUGUGGUUAGGGGUGAAAGGCUUAACAAAUCUGGAGAUAGCUGGUUCUCCCCGAAAACUAUUGAGGUAGUGCCUCGUGAAUGACUCCGGGGGGUAGAGCACUGUUAUGGCUAGGGGGACAUGGCGUCUUACCAAACCAUGGCAAACUCCGAAUACCCGGAAGUUGAAUCACGGGAGACAGAGCACCGGGUGCUAACGUCCGGACUCAAAAGGGAAACAACCCAGACCGCCGUUUAAGGUCCCAAAUACAGGCUAAGUGGAAAACGAAGUGUGAAGGCUAAGACAGUCAGGAAGUUGGCUUAGAAGCAGCCAUCCUUCAAAGAAAGCGUAAUAGCUCACUGAUCGAGUCCUCAUGCGCGGAAGAUGUAACGGGGCUAAGUCUGUAACCGAAAGCGCGGAUUUGUACGCAAGUACAAGUGGUAGGGGAGCGUUCUGUAAGCCUGCGAAGGUGUGUGGUAACGCAUGCCGGAGGUAUCAGAAGUGCGAAUGCUGACAUGAGUAACGAUAAAGCGGGUGAAAAGCCCGCUCGCCGUAAGCCCAAGGUUUCCUGCUCUACGUUCAUCGGAGCAGGGUGAGUCGGCCCCUAAGGCCAGGCUGAGAAGCGUAGCUGAUGGGAAGCAGAUUAAGAUUUCUGCACCGACGUUAAGUGCGAAGGGGGGACGGAGUUUUGAGCAUCAUCCGGGUGUUGGAUGUCCCGGUUUGUGCGUGUAGGAGGCCGGCAGGCAAAUCCGCCGGCGAAUCUCCGAGACAAAGCAUCGAGCUGCAUUUUGCAGUGAAGUGAUGGGAUGAACUUCCAGGAAAAGCCUCUAAGCAAUAGCUUAAUGUCGACCGUACCGUAAACCGACACAGGUGGGCGAGUUGAAUAUACUCAGGCGCUUGAGAGAACUCGGGAGAAGGAACUCGGCAAAUUGACACCGUAACUUCGGGAUAAGGUGUGCCUUUGUAGUGUGAAGAGUGAAACACUCCGAGCAUGAAGAGGUCACAGAGAAUAGGUGGCUGCAACUGUUUACUAAAAACACAGCACUCUGCAAAGACGAAAGUCGACGUAUAGGGUGUGAUGCCUGCCCGGUGCCGGAAGAUUAAGUGAUGGGGUGAGAGCUCCUGAUCGAAGUCCCGGUAAACGGCGGCCGUAACUAUAACGGUCCUAAGGUAGCGAAAUUCCUUGUC